rnacentral:lncRNA from 1 species
UUUUUUUCUCCUCUUCUUCAUCAUCGCUCGAAUCAUGGCGAUGCUUGCUCUUGUUGUCCUUGAUCCUUUUAUCCGGCUUGGGGCAAUUUGGACGGAUGUGACCUUUUUUGCCACAAUUGUAGCAAAUCUUGUUCUUGACAUCCAUUGGCCGAAACAUUCCCUUUUUGGAGUCAAAGUUGAAACCCUUCUUAUUAAUCUUUUCAUUUAAGCGUGUGAACUUCCUCAUCAUGAGAGCAAGUUCUCCAUCGUCUUCAACAUCGGAUGAGCUUUCAUGAUGAUCAUCUUCUUCAUUGCUUGAGCUUGAAUCUUGCUUGAUCAUCUUGAGUUUGCGGGAUUUGUUUGUCUUGGUCUUUAGAGCAAUUGAUUUGCUUGAAGUUGGCUCUUCGGACAUACCAAGAAUGCUCAUUUCAUGAGCGCGAAUUUCCCCCACAAGUUCUCCUACUUCCAUUGUGUCAAGAUCCUCCUUUUGAAGCAUAGCAUUAAUGAUGUUAUACUUGGGCUUCGGGAGGAGCAUGAGAAUCUUGCGAUUGAUGGAUGCACUGUCAAUUUUGGAUAUUUCAAGUGCAUUAAUGUCCUUGACAAUGACAUUCAAGCGAGAAUACAUAUCAUUGCAAUUUUCAUGAGCUAGCAUUUUAAAGGAAUCAUACUUAGCUCUAAACAAGUGAUAUUUUUGCUCACGAACUUUAGUGGAACCUUCAUGAAUUUCAAUGAGCUCCUUCCAAAUAUCACUUGCUAAGUCCAUGCCAUUAACUCUAGCAAAGACUUCCUCACUAAUAGCUUCGAAAAUUGCAUUUCUAGCUUUAGCAUUCCAUUUUAAUUGUUCGGUGGUGGGAGUUCCGGUGAACCCGACUUUAGUUGCCGACCACACUUCGGGGGCAAUCGCAUCAAGGUAUGCGGCCAUGCGAACUUUCCAAUAAGCAAAAUUCUUGCCCUCGAAGUGAGGCGGCGAACCACCCAUCUUGGUCAUAGCUCUAGGCAGUGAAGCCUAAUGAUCCAAAUGAGCAACGAGGCUCUGAUACCAAUUGAAAAGAUCGAUGGACCAAGAGGGGGGGUGAAUUGGGCCUUUUUUUAAUUUCUAAAACAAGGUAAAGCAACCUUAACCUAUGCAAAGCUAGAAAGGCACCAAUUCACCAACCGGGUAACUAAACUACCUACGCAAGCUAGGAAAGAUAAAAGAGGUAAAGCCUAGCAAGGUAGAGGAAAGUAGUGAUCCCUAAAUCAAGCACAUGAAUAAAUUGCAUGAAAGAUAAUGCUUGAGUAAGUAAAGGGGGCAAGAGACAACCGGAUUUUUCCCGUGGUAUCGAUGUGUUGGCACACACCCCUAAUCCACGUUGUGACACUCACAAAGAGUAUUGUCACAUCCCAAGUCACCAAGACGAGGGCGCUCACUAAGAGUCUCCGUUCACCAUCCCGGUGUGGUGGAGAUCAAGCCAUGUACAAUCUUCUUCUCCGGGCUUUCAUAAUCCUUGGCAAGCUCCGUGAGAAUCACCUCGAUCACCAAGAUCGCCUAGGUGAUGCCAAUCACCAAGAGUAACAAGCUAAGGCUUUCACUUGAGCAAGAACCGAUCACCAAGAACGGAUGCACACAAGCUUCUCUCUACUCAAGUCCUUAAUCUUGCUUCUUGAAUGAUUGAAUGAACAAUUAUGUGAAAUGAUGAAGCUCAAGGUGGCUCUUGACUAUAGUAUGAGUGUUUGGAUGUUGCCUAGUGUCAAGAGUAGUAAAAUGACCCAUUGGAGGGGUAUAUAUAGGCAGCUCACACGAAUAGAGCCGUUGGAGAAAAAGCUGCCAGAAAACUGCGUAGCGCCGGUUAAUUCGACGUACCUCCAAUAGUCAUCGUCGGUUUAACCGGUGAAUGUAAACUACCCCUUCUGAAAACUAACCGUUACAGAUUGGGCAGAUUAACCGACGUAUCAUCGGUUUAACCGGUGAGUGUAGUCAUCCACUGAUCAACUGAAAAACCAAGUCUCUGGACAACUGCACCGACGUCCAAUUUCAAAUAUCGUCGGUUUAACCGGUGUGUUGACUUGUCCAGACUCUGCUGACCUCGUUUAACCGACGUAUAGAAAAGUUGAGGCGUCGGUUAAAUCGGUGUUAAGGAUUUUUCCUGAUUUUGCCUUUUCUGAUUUGAGUCUUGAAUGAAAUCCAAUUAUUCUUGAGAUAUAAGUUGAGAACCACUUAUUUGAGCUUCUAGAAACCUGAGUGACCAUUGUGUGCAUCCAUUUUCAAAUGACCAUGUCCAUGCUCAAGUUACUUAGCCUAAACCCCUCUUAAUAGUGCGAUCACUACAAAACUAUUAAACCUAUACUAACCUAAGUGUCCUUCUCAACCUUAUGACACUUAGGACUAGAAAGAUCCUUAGUCUUGACGUAUUAUUGAGUUGAAUGCCGAGAUCGCCUUUUUGAAUAAUGAAAAUUAGGGGCCCCUUUUGACAUAUAACCAAAUGAGCGAUAAUGAUCUAUAAAGCUGCACAAACUCAUUAGUCACAAUAAUGGUUGUCAUUAAUCACCGAAACAUACCUUGAGGGCCUAGAUACUUACAACAACAUUACAUAAAAAUAGCACACAAAACCAUGGUAGAACUGUUCUACGCGUUACAACGAUCACGUGAGCGCGAAAACCACCUAAAACGGAGCUAAGACGCGAAAACUAGAGCUUAAACAAGGUUCAGGGGCUUUUCUGUAAGAAAACAGGAAGUCCUAAGGGGUUCUGCGCAAAAACUGAGGACUAAAAUGGAAUUAACCCAUAAACUUCGAGUUUAGACUGCAAGACCACGCGCCUAGGGGCAGCGGACCCUAUUUCUGGAAAGUUCAAGGGCUUCGGUGCAAAAAUAGGGGCUUACUGGAAUUAUCUUUGAACGGAGGUGGACUGCGGGUUGAUUCCAAGGAAGCUCAGGGGUUCUUUAACAAAACUGCCACGGCUGAAGGGGUAUCUCCCAAUCUGGGCCGUCGGAUCUGGAUCAGACGGUUCGGACCCAAUCUAGUUCGGACAGUCCGAUCUGCACGGCGGGGGUCCGGACAGGUCCGAUCUGGAUCGGACCGGUCCGAUCUGACAGAACGCGGCCGGCGGCGGGGGGGGGGUGGGUGGGUGGGGGGGGGUCGCCGGAGAUCGGUUUCCACGGCGGCGCGCCACCGGAGCUGGGUGAAAUCAAUGCUCCGGGGGUCAAAUCGAACGGGGCUUGGGUCUAUCGCGAUCAGCGUGACACGCGCGAUCCACCUGAGGCACUUGUGGGCCUCGGGGUUGUUCGGGAUUGCGCGCGCGGCGGCGGAAGCGGGUUUGCGCGGUGGAGCUCGCCGUCGUGCGGCGUUCUGGCUACGGAAACGGGCUAAGGUCCACGACAUCUAGCGCAAAAGGACCGGGGGAACGUGCUGUUGCUCACCGAGGGCUCGAACUGGCCGGUGAAAACAGCGCAGGGUGGUCGGCGGCGAGGGCCGAGCGGCGAGGACGGGCGGCGCUCGCAGAGGAAGACGAUGCAGGGGCCUCCGUGCUUCUGGUCACCGUGGAUCGACUCGGGGUGGUGCUGUGAAGGUAACACGGGAGUUAGGGAGUACGGAAACACGCCGGCGGUGAUCAAUUUUGGUAGCGGCCGAGCUCACCGGCAAUGGCGGUCGUGGCAAAAUUCGACGGCGAGAGCGAGCUGGGCGUGUCUAGGGUUGCGGUCGCGGUUUCGGGAAGUCACAGGAGAGGCGGCCUGGUAGCUUAAGAGGUGGCGGGGAUGCCCUAGGCGUGCGUGCCGCGGACUCUGCGGUGAAAGUGGAUCGCGCAACGGAUUUGUGCAAUCCCGUCUUUGGAGGCUCGGCUUCUAGAAGGUGAGGGCGCCAGCGAGGCUGGUCAGUGGGCCUCGAGCGUGCGCACUGGGGGCGGAGCGGGGCCACGGGCAGCGAGGGAGCGGCCGGGACGGUGGAGGAGAAACAGGGGAGGUCGGGCACGAGGAAGAAGAAGGAAAAGAAAGAGAUGGUCACCGACAGGUGGGGUCGAGCUGGGGGAAUGACUGAGAAAGAAAGAAUGACAGAGAAAAGAACGGGAAUGACUGAGAAAAGAACGGGAAUGACUGAGAAAAGAACGGAAAUGACUGAGAAAAGAAGGAAUGACUGACCUACCUUCCUGUUUCCUUCCUUUACUUUUCCCGCACCAACUCAAAUCUAUUUGAAUUCAACUCAAUUUGAAUUCAACCCCUAUGCACUCAACCAAAUAAAACUUAUGCACCAGCAUGAAUGCACAAACAUGUUGAAUCUAAAAUAAAUUUUAAUUACUUGUGAAUUAAAUUAUAAAUAAUUGCAAGCUAGGUAAAAUAAAUCCUUAGAAAAUUUUUUUGGAGCCCAAUUAAAUUCAUUAUAAAUCUCGAAAUUUUUCCUUAGGGUGUUACACUACUCUUGGUUUCCCUCCCGAUGAUGCCCACCCCGCCAUCGUCCACCAACCAACUCCCGGCUUCUGCCACCCCAGGUGCGGUGGCCAGGUGCAGCGACGGCCCUGCUUCCCUACCGUCGGGCUUCACUCCAAGACCGACGCCCUCUGCCUUCUCAUUGUCGGCGGCGGCCCGCCCUUUCUUCCCCGGCGCGACCUCGGCGGGGCGCUCCAAGGUAGCUCGCUGGUCUGACGGCAGCGAUGAGGAGCUAGACCACGUCGACUACGACUUCACCCCUUCGCCCUCCCCGCAGCCAGCGAGCUACAAUGAAGUCGUCUGUCAUCCCCCGAGCCCGGCGCCGACCCAGGUACCGCCCCAGCUGCAUACCCCUGUUGUGUCGGUCGCGAUGCAGGUUGUUGAGGUGCAUGAGCCCUCUCGUUGUCGCCGCCGCCGCCCCUUGCCCCGAGCGCAUCGCCGACAGCUGCCUCCACUUCGGGCCUCUGCGCCUGGCGGCGAUGCUAUGGCGUCUCAGGCUACCGGGCGCGUCACGGCUGCUGGGCGUGUCGUGUCUGCUCCUGUGGAAUGUCACCGCCCGAGGAUCGAUGUUGAUGGUUUCUAGGAGGUGCUCCCACGCUCCACCAGGCAGCGCCUCCGCCGAGAUGGGGCUAGCAGCCCGCCUCAGCGUCUCCCACUAGAGUUAGCGGACCGAUGCUUGAACUGUUUGUCGUUCAACCAUCGGGUCACCACAUGCAGGCUUCCCUGGAGAUGCCUUUAUUGUCAUGGCUUCCGCCACCUCGCUCGCGAGCCGCAGGCCAAGAGCCCUGCCCCCCCCCCCCGGUCCGUGAGGCUGCUGGCGAAGCUUGGCGCGCACCAACCAGGCGCUUCGAACGGUUGAGGAACAACAGUCCUCCCACGCCUGUGUCACACCCAAUUUAUGAGAAUAUAAACCGAGCAAUCAUAUAUGCGCCAGGAUCAAGUCACGCAUAUAUACAUCAGAACUAUCAGGAUAUCACAACAUAUAUCAUGAAAUAAAAGCGUAUAAAUUGUAAAUGAAUUCUUUAUUACAACUGAAUCAAGAAUCAGUUCAAGGAGUGCGGAAGCGUAAAAUAAAUACAUGAAGAGCAGGGCGCCACAGGGACGUCGGCUGGGAGACAAACGCCUAGAAAUCGUCAAGUUCGCUGAUGUAGUCCUCCACGUCGACUGGUACUGAGCAGCAGUCGAAGAUAUCCCAAAGAGAACAGAAGAGUAGAGAAGGCAAGUGUGAGUACACAACUUGUACUCAACAAGUAUAACACGAAUUAUGAGGCUCUACGGUUAGCUGACUCAACUGCAUUAGCUUUUAAUCUUGGCAAUUUUUAUUAAAGCUAUUUACUACAAGCGGAUGAAUUACCAUAACCCAAGUUACUAAAGCAAUUAACUAAAAUUACUCAUAAGUCUACUGAAAUUCAAACCAAACCACCAAAGAUAAAUCCCGUUAAUCAGACGGAGGAUCUGGGCCGCUCAUAACCGUGAGCACAGCUAGUAUACCAGUUUUACACUCUCGAGAGGUUGCACAACUUUACCCACAAGUCAUGAGCUACGCUAGUUGUUCGUCACACUUCCUUAGGUGAGAUGACUAGCAAGCGCACUACGAGAUCGUUACAAAGGAUCACGUUAGUAAGGUGUAACCGCUAAGGUUUCUGGAUCGGCGACGAUGGGGCCCACCUUAGGGGGGUACAAGCACACAGCACAGACCAAGCCGGAAGAGCAGGGACCAUUGAAGCUUACCACCACUCUUGCCCCACAGGUAAGUUACUCCCAAACCAAAAUACCCUAAUUAGUAAGUCAAAACCGUCCCAUUCCAGUCUUAUGGUUGCGCGGUUGUCCCAGAUUGUCGCUCUAUGAACCGGUCCUUAUGGAGCAUGGCCAACCAAGCACUAAGCACCGUGCUGGUCCCCUAAACCAUGUUUCUACAAAAAAACAUAUUUUAACGAGACGUGAGCCGCUCAAGCACACAGCACAGAGGACCACUCUCAAGAUCAAGUUGCAUAUACCAUUAAUAAAAUUUAAUUAAAAUGACCGUAAUGUGCGAGAGCGCAACACCUAGCACAACUAACCAAAAUGCAACCCAAGGUAUUUAUAUUAAAGGAUAAAAGUGGCUAGGAAAUUCUUAUAGGCAUACAGUAUUAAAAUGCAGUAUGAGAUUGUAUUUAAAAGUGAUAGGAUAUUCAUGUUAUACUUGCCUUCCUCAAACUCUCCUGACUACUGCUCAAACGCGUUUGAAGAAGGUGGCUCCUGGUACUCCUCCGAUGGCUCAACGUCUACUCGCGAUCACAACGCCAAAACAUGGUCCACACAUGCACAUACAUGCAAACAAUGGCAAAAGAUAAGAAACAGUACAACAAUACAAUAAAACAACACACAAAACUGAGCUAAAACUAUUCUACGUGUUACAAUGAUCGCGUGAGCGUGAAAACCACCUAAAAUGGAGCUAAGACGCGAAAACUAGGGCUAAAACAAGGUCUAGGGGCUUAACUGCGAGAAAACUGAAGGUUCCAGGGGGUUCUGCGCGAAAACUAGGGACUUAUACACAAUUAAACUACAGACGUAGGGUCUAAUGUGCAACAACUACAGGGCUGGACGGCGGACCCAAAAUCUAGAAAGCUCAGGGGCUUCGGUGCAAAAAUAGGGGCUCAACUGGAAUUACUUUUGAACUAACGUGGACUGCGGGUUGAUUUCAAGGAAACUCAGGGGCUCUUUAGCAAAACCGCACGGCUGAAGCGGUAUCUUCUAAUCUGGACCACCAGAUCUGGAUCUAACGAUCCGGAACCAAUCUGGGAUGGAUCUAAUCUGGCGCGUCGGCUUCGGAUCGGGUGGCUAGGACCGACUGGGCGCGCGGGGACGGCGGGGCGGUCGCCGGAAUCCAGUUUCCGUGGCGGCGCGCGGCUCGGGCUCGCUGGAUUUCGCCAAUUCCGGCGCUCUGGUGGCCAAAUCGACCAGGGUUUGGGCCAGGGAGGUUCACCACACCAUGCGUGAUCGACCUAGUGCAUUGGUGGGCCUCGGGGUGCUCUGGGCAUGCGCGUGCAGCGGCGGAGGCGGGUCUGCACGGCAGCGCACGCCGGCAUGCGGCGUUACAGCCUCAGGAACGGGCCAAAGUCUACGACAUCUAGCACAAAAGGACCAGGGGGACGUGCUGAAGCUCACCGAGGGCUUGGUCCGGGCUGGAUGGCCGUGCAGGGGUGUCGGCGACGUUGACCGGUGGCGGAGACGGGGCGGCGCUCGCGGGGAGGGCUGCUGCAGGGGCUCUCCGGCCCCUGGGCUCCACGGAUCGGCACGGAGUGGUGAUGUGAAGGUACUACGGGGGUUAAGGAGGACGGAAACAUGCCGGCGGCGAGGAAUCAAGGUGGCUGAGCAAACUCACCGGCGGCAGUCCUCGGUGAAAUCCCAGCGCUACACGGGUCGGGGUCGCGGGUGAAGAGCUUUGGAAGCUUCCUGGCGGUGGGGCAAAACUGAUGCGGGGGUUGGCCGGGGCUGGGGUGCGGCGGAGCAGCGAGUCCACGGUGGGGCAGGGAGCUCUGCGCGGCGGGGUGAGUGAGCGGUGGCGCUAGGGUUCGGGUGGUGGCUGUAGGUUUUAGGGUUAGGGUCCCAGGGAGUUGGAGAUCCUAUUUGUAGGGCGGCGGGGCGUCCUCGGCGUGCGGGCCCGGCGCGAGGGCUCGCCGGAGAUCUCGGGGACUUGGGCGCGUCGGGGAAGAAGGAAAGGAGGAGGAAGACAGGCGCCGACAGGUGGGGUCAAGCGGUCAGAGAGAGAGAGAGGUGCGUGCUGGGCUGGGGUGGGGGUGCGGGAAACAGGGCCAAGCGGGAAAAGAAAGAGAGAAAGAGAGAAUGGGCCUGCGCGAGGAAAGGAACGGCCCAAGGGGGAAGAGAGGAGCAGGCUGGGCUGGAGUGCAGCUAGGGUUGCUUUCCUAUUUCCUUCCCUUUUUCUUUUCCAAACCAACUCGAAUCUAUUUGAAUUCAAAUCAAAUUUGAAUUCAAACUCCUAUGCACUCACUCCAAUAAAACUUAUGCACCGGCAUGAAUGCACAAACAUGUUGAACUAAAAUAAAUUUUAAUUCUUUGUGGAAUUUAAUUAAAUUAAAUGCAAGCUAGGCAAGAUAAAUCCUUAGAAAAUUACUGGAGCCAAUUUAAAUUCAUUAUAAAUCUCGGAAUUUUACUUUAGGGUGUUACAGGCUGCCGCCUCUGAGGCACCCAGCCGCACUCUGCCACCUCCGGGUGAAGAUGCAACCGCCCCCAACCAAGCAACAUCGACGGGUCCGUCUCAUGAUACCUCGCGAGCGGAACCGGAAUGCUGCUACGUGGAGCGCAGUGAGGCGAUGGUAGCGGAGGAUGCAAGGCUCCGGCUUGCACUCAUUAGCCAGCUGGGCAAUGCAGCGUACACCACCACUGCUGCGGACGUCCUGCGCACCAUUGCGGCAGCGCUUGACAGAAGCUGGCGACACUGCCACGGACGCAGCAGGACGGGCGGCGUUGUUGCCGGAACCUCGUCAGUGGCUUGCGGCCAUGGAGGUCGAUGUCAAGUAGAGCCCACCUCAGGGGCAGAGGUGUCCGCGAUCCCGAAAGGGAACCCUGUGUGCACCUGCCCCGUCCGGGCAUGGCAAAAGACCUUUCCUAAAGAGGCCACGAUCGGGCAGGUGGAGACAAGGGCAGACCACGAGACUGUGCAAACAACCGAGGCAACCAUCAGGUCAAGAGACGUUGCUACCUCCGGGGAGGUCGUGGGUGGCACCUGCGGGUCCACCGACCCGUCUCCGAUGUAGGCCAGAAGGAAAGCCGCUUUGCUGCUGGAAUCUCUGGCGGAUGAGGUCGGGGCAGUUGGCUUUCUGAUAUUGCAGCACAGAGAGGAGUGGGUCUCCAGGAUGGAGGACCCAAUGCUUCUGGAGGCCAGCUUGGAUUCAAGCAUGGUGCGUUUGACAGAAGCUAUUCCUGUGAUGGUCCCGCCAGUCGUGCCAAACGAUGCGAUGGUUGACCAGAUCUCUGCUAUGGCUUGUAUUGUCCCACUGGCUUCCCCCCCCCCCCCCUUGUUGGGCUGCAGAACCGGUCCUGCUCGUUGGGCCAACGGCGUCUGCACCUAAUGAGGCUUUGGGUGUGCUUGAUGGGCCGGUCUCGCCUAUGCCACCCGCUGUUGGGUCUAUGGCGCCUGCGUCCUUGGAGGAUGAGGGGGCACCGGUUGGGUAGCUUCUUCUGCCGAGCCUAACCCAACACUCAGUCCCUAAGCCUGCUACAACAGCAGACCCAACACCGUACUUGGGCCUGCCUAACGCUGGCCUUGUAACGGAGGUCGAGGACCCGGAGGAACAGCGCACACCUAUCGCGUCUGGCUGCAACACGCCGAGGAUGCUGCAAGCCAUGAACGUCAGCUCAAGGCUUUUGCGGAAGAGUUCAGGUGUCCCAUCCGCUCUCCUCUAUCACCAAAGCCUGCCAAAACCAAGCGGGUUGCCCCUGCUCAACGGGGACAACCCGUGCUGCCGAAGCGUAGUGAGUGCCUGGCCAACCACCCUCUAGCUAAUGGUGCUUCCUCUAAGUGUGCAGAAGUAGUGCUGAUGCGUCACUUCAAGGCCAUCCCGGAGACGGCUGCGGCAAACUCAGACUCCAAGAAUGCCUACUCCAAGCUUCUUCGAGGCUGUUAGGGAUCUCCUGCCAGUGUUGUGCAAUAGCUCGCCGGCUGAGGGCAUCAUGGCCUGAGAGUUGAGCCCGGCUCACCAAUGAUCAACGGUUGUUUUUGUUGGUGUAAAUAGAACAAAUGUAAAGGGCUUUCUUGCAUAUUGGUGAAAUAUAAUGAGAGUGUGGGUGCUCUGUAGAGCAACACACCAUAAAACUUCCCCAAAUCCAACAUGGUAUACAGAGCUAGGGUUAGGGUAUCGAGCUCCGGCGAGGACACCGCGCGUGGGCCCGCGGGCUCGUGAGCGGCGCAUGCCUGCGGACCACACGCGUGGGCCCAGGCGUGGCCGUGCGAGGGAACGCGUGAGGUGGCCAGCUGCGGGCGACUGCUGGCUGGCUGGCUGCUCUGCUCCGCUUCUCGGCUGGCUGGCAACUCUACUUCACGAGUUGUGAGGACUUUGGAUGAGAAGGUGAAGCGCAAGGUGGAGGCCGCUGAGCAGGGAGGAGAUAGACCGCAUGGUGUAGGAAGCUGCUACGUAGGAGAAUUAAGAAAGGUGAAGCUGUGCUACUCUGUGGCAUGUUCGGGUACCUGCUGGUAACUGAUUUCGGGGAAGGAAGCCUGAUUUGUGUGUGGUGAAGAUGAGUCCAGAAGAGUUGGAAGCAAAAAGGAAGAAAGAAGAGGCUGCAAUUAAUGCAGACAUGGGUAGUGGUGGUCAAGGUGGAACCCGAGGAGGUCGUGGAAGUACUCGUGGGAGCUUCGGAGGAGGCUGCGGUAGCCGUGAUGGAGGCUGAGGUAGAGGUCGUGGUGGCCCUAGGGCCAAUGUGGCGGCCACUGAGGAGACUCUAUCUAUCACUUUAACGGGAGAGCAAAUCAAACAAUGGGAGCAAUGGCAGAAAGGCAAAGCUCCUGAGAGUUUCACCAAUGUCUCACUUGAUCCUGUGACUUCGACCUUCAAAAACUUCGAUAACUUUGCCAACUACGCCCACAUGAGCGAAGGUACUUAGGCACAAGCACUUGCAUCUUUAUGUAGGCAUCACAUAGAUUGGGUCAUAGAUUCAAGAGCAUCGAAGCAUGUUAUGGGCUAUAGAUGGCAACGGGUAAAAUCCGUGCGGAUACUAACUUUGUAAACUCGUACCCGCAUACUAAAAUCCGUGCCCACACCCGCGCCCGCAACCCGCCACGGGCACGAAACGACGCCCGUAACCGCUAUCCGCGGAUAUCCGCAUGUAGCUUUAGAAAAUCAAGCACACAUUACAUUUCAACAGCAAAUAAACACCAUUUAUUUAAGGAAACAAAUAAAUGUGAGCAUAUAAAUAAACUAGUUACAUACAUGAAUACAUGAUACAUCACACAUUAACAUAAACCCUAAAUGAAGUCGGUUUAGGACCCACAUGUCAGCCGCUAAAUCGGGUUUGGUGGAUUUGCGGAUGCGGAUAUUAUUUUUUCAAACCCGUUAGCAAAUAUCCGUCGGGUUUAAGGUUGUACCCGCGCCCGCGCCCGCGGGCAUAAAUGCAAACCCAUAUCCGCGCCCUUCGGGUUUGCUAUCCGCGGGCACGCGGAUAUUUUGUAUCCGUUGCCAUCUCUAUUAUGGGCAUAUCUAAUUCUUUCAAAACAUACAGUCCAUAUUCUCAUUCUGAGUUCACUCAAAUUGCUGAUGGCACAUCCCAACUUAUCCAUAGUGUAAGGUCUGUAGAGUGCACACCUUCUCUUAGCCUAUCGUCAGUCCUGCAUGUCCCAUCUUUUCCUAUCAAUCUUCUCUAUGUUAGUUCAAUCAUUGAUCGAUUCAAGUGCAUAGUAAUAUUUGAUGAAACAUCUUGUACUUUUUAGGAGAGGGGGACUGGGAGAAGGAUUGGGACUGGAGUCAGGCGUAACAGGUUGUGGUUCAUCAAUUAUGAGGAGUCAGCAUUGGCAGCAGCUGCAAAAGGAGAUGUAAUGGCAAUUCUGCUAAGCACGAUACAAAGUGGAAAGAUGCAAUGAAAGAAAGCUACUUGCCCUUCAACAGAACAAGACAUGGGAACUUGUUCAUCUUCCAGAAGGAAAGAAAGCGGUGGGUUGCAGUGGGUCUUCACAGUAAAAUAGACCCCUGAAGGAAAGGGGGAUAGGUAUAAAGCAAGAUUGGUUGCGAAGGGAUAUAGUCAGACAAAUUGACUAUGAUGAAACCUUUGCACCUAUGGCAAAAAUGGGCACAGUGAGGACUUUGGUCUCAUGUGCAGCCAACUUCAAUUGGCCACUCCAUCAGUUAGAUGUGAAAAAAUGCAUUUCUUCAUGGUGAUCUGCAAGAAGAAGUUUAUAUGGUAAUUCUACCUGGAUUUGGAAAUGAACAGACUUUGGGUAAAGUAUGCAAACUGAAGAAAUCAGUGUAUGGUCUACAGCAGUCACCACGUGCAUGGUUUGAUAGAUUCAGGCAAGCAGUAUGUGAUAUGGGAUAUUCUCAGUGUAAUGGAGAUCAUACAGUCUUCUAUAAACAUCGGGGCUCUUGCAUUACUAUCUUGGAUGUCUAUGUUGAUGAUAUAGUGAUCACUGGAGAUGAUGAGAAGGAGAUCAAGAGCCUAAAGGGGAGGUUAGGUAAGGCCUUUAAGGUAAAGGAUCUUGGACCAGUUCGAUACUUUCUUGGGAUUGAGAUUGCUAGAUCAUCAAAAGGGAUUAUUCUCUCCCAAAGAAACUAUGUUCUUGAUCUGUUGGCGGAGACGGGAAUGCUUGGGUGUCGUCCAUGUGGCUCACCCAUUGAUAAGAAUCACCAAAUGUGUGCUGAGUUGGGUGAUCCUGUGGAUUGGGGAAGAUAUCAGAGGUUGGUUGGUCGUUUGAUAUAUCUUUGCCAUACAAGAUCUGACAUUUCUUAUGCAGCGAGUGUGGUGAACAGGUGUAUGCAUGAUCCUAGAACUGGGCAUAUGGAGGCGGUUUAUCAAAUCCUGAGAUAUCUGAAGGGAACCCCUGGUAAGGGGUUGUGGUUUAGGGCAAACCAACACCUGAAUCUGGAAGGUUAUUGUGAUGCUGAUUGAAGCAGCAGGGAUGAUAGGAGAUCCACAUCUGGAUAUUGUGUGUUUGUGGAUGGAAAUCUUGUUUCGUGGAGGAGCAAGAAGCAAACUGUAGUGUCUCGGUCUACUGCAGAAGCCGAACAUAGAGCAAUGGCAUUGGCUCUGUGUGAGAUGAUGUGGCUAAAGGAUCUUUUGAAGGAGCUUCGGGUGUUGAAGAAUGAGACUAUGUUGCUUCAUUGGGAUAAUGUAGCAGCGAUCAAUAUAGCAAAUAAUCCAGUUCAGUUUGAUCAUAUGAAGCAUGUCGAUCAAGCAUGUGGAGAUCGACAAGUUCUUUAUCAAGGAGAAGAUUGAUAGUGGGACUUUGAAGCUAAAGUAUGUCAAGUCUCAUGAUCAACUAGAUGAUAGUCUCACAAAAGGUCUAGGUCCUAAGGAUAAUGAGUUGGCAUGUAACAAGAUGGGUAAUGUUGAAUAUAUUUAGCCCAUCUUGAGGGGGAGUGUUGGUGUAAAUAGAACAAAUGUAAAAGGGCUUUCUUGCAUAUUAAAGAAAUUAAUAAGGAGAGUGUGGGUGCUCUGUAGAGCAACACCCCAGAAAACUUCCCCAAAUCCAACGGUUUUCAUUCCACGGAUCAGCUCAUACAAUCCUGGAAUAUUGUGGGUGGUUUAAAGCGCGAGUAGUUAGUUGUGGGUCGGCCCAAUGGGCAUGGUUUCUUUUUUAGUGCUCCAUGCGCACUUAUGUGUCGCGUGAUGCUUCCGGCUCUGCAGGUCGUAAACGAACUUUAAUUUGUUCUUCUUCUUAAUACAAUGAUGCGUAUCUCUCCUGCGUAUUCGAGAAAAAAACUCUAGCGACCGAUGUUGGCCAAACUCUAGCUAGAAAAGAUGCAAGGAAACGGGUGGUGAAUGAGAACAACCUCCUGUCGUUCACCGUGUGGACUUUGAGGCUGAGGAGAGCCAGGGGGCAAGGCAAGGGCAAGACAGCUGCCCGUGCCCGUGUCCUCUAUACUACGGUUGCUGCCAUGGCGGAAGAGGCGUGCGCCACGGAUGUUGCACAAUGGGUGGCUGGACAGGCAGCUCAAUCCUUCCGCAGCGGCCGAUGGAGAGUUGAGGAGGAGGAGGAGGGUCCCCCUGGCUUGCUCCUCGCCACGUCGUGGCCGAACCCCCUGCACCGCUCCUCUAGCUCAUCGGUAGAAGAAGGGGAUCUCAUGAUGCAGAUGGGAGAAGUCAGGGACAAUAUGGAUUGAAAUACCACCGUUUAACGUUGAAAUGGAUGGAGUGGUAUAUUUUGAUAACGGAGUAAUUUUCAUAGUAGAUAUCUUAACAUAGAUCUUUUAAUGGUAUAUUUCUAAAAUACUGAUCUUUCGGUGCUACCAAUCCAAUUUUCACUUCUUUCUACUGCCAGCCUACGAGGUGGUGUCCGUAUGGACUGUGGCAGAAAUUUAUUUUCAGCUUCUUGUUUGUCGAUUUUAUUGUCACGGUAAAUCAUCAUCGUCUCUUCAAUAUUUUUUCAAAGUGAAGGUUUGAAUUUAUAGCAGCAUGGUUGUUCCGAGAGCUUUUCCGGUGGCCAACUCAUGCUCUCUCAUGCAGUAGCUUGAUGAAUCAAUACAACUGCUGGAGAAAAUUAAAUUAACCGAUGAGAGAGAAGAAUCGAUGCAUCUAUGGAGUCUACUCAGAGCCUCUCCAGCAGCUCCCCAAUAAAUCUUUCCCAAUAAUCAUCUAAUAAAUUUUUCCCAAUAAUUAUCUAAUGGGGAUGUCCUAAUAAUUCUUUGAUGGUUAUUAGAAGAGUUGCUUUUGUAGUUCCUCAAGAACCCCAUCCCAAGUCAACUACCAUAUUGAAAGAGUUUCAACUCUCCCUCUAUCUGGGGAGGGUUGAGGUGGAUUAUUGGUUUGUCCCAAUAAUUAUUGGGAAAACAGAAAGAUAAAGGGGAUCCAGCAUAAAUUUUACACAAACUCUCCCGAUAUGGUAGUUGGACUGGGGAACGGAGGUCCAUUGGAGAUGCUCUCAGGCGCAAUAAGAUAAGCAGGACGACCUGCCAUGCGACUAUGCUGGUGAGAGGAAGUAGUAAGCAAAAGCCACAAGUAAUUAAUUUAACAACUUACGUGAUGUGAGUAACUUUUUGUUGUACAACGUGACUAAAAUUAGGCAUCAAUGGCAUGUAUGUCCAAAACCAGUUCACAAUUAAACCAAUUAGAAGGUGACCUAGAUGUUUAAUGAGGGACAUGAUGGACUUUUCACUUGCUGGUUCAAUUAUCCUAUAAUCCCUAGAAGUACCUACCUUGUUUGCUUAAGUAAUAAAGAACGAAUUGGCCUCUAUUAUUUUGAUAUACCGGCUGCUUAAUACAAUUAUUGGGAUGUCAUGUAUUUAAUCCUAACUUGCAGCAAAUUAUCCAAACUACAAAAAGUCUUAGCAAUCCAUUUAAUGGAAAUAGAAAAUGAUGUAGCAAAAAGAGAUCCCCUCAAUUCGUGCUUUCAAGCAGUAUCUACGGAACAUCUGAUGAUUUUCAAAAUAAAAGUUAAAACUUCUGAAUGUGGGGCUAGAUUAUGGUGGAGAGCUAAGCUUGGAAUGGGCUGCAGUAGUGCCACAGCCAUGAGAUUCUAAGUAGUGGCAUUUUUGUAUAUUUUAUGUUAUUUCGGUUGCUUGGGUAUCGGGACUAAAACCUAAACUUUGUGAUGAGACCUGAUGUUUAGACUUUGAGUAUCCUCCUCGGAACUAGUUCUACCAUAUUAUUGGUACUAACUUACACACCUUUUUAACCUUAUAUUCUCUUAAUAUUAGUACAUAACCUCAUAUUCUCUUAAUAAUAGUACAUAACCUCAUAACCUCAUCUUCCGCAGUAUAUGCUUGAUUUUACUUGCUAUAUAUGACUAGAUCUACAACCAGAAGAUCAAGGAUUAAGGUUCCCUAUUGACCUCAUGAAUAUGAGCCUCUUUAGCAGGGCUUCAGCUCCGACUCUCACAGCGACUCCUGCUGGAGCCCUAUCAAACGCCAAUGCGGCAAAUGGCUCCACCGGCGAAGCCUCUGAAAAUCCGCUCUCUGGAGCCAAUUUGUGGAGCGGGAUCCAAAAAAAGUGGCUCCUCGCGGCUCCUUCCAGUCAUUUGCCAUCCUCCUCAGGAGGGGCUGCGGGUGAGAGCGAGAGCCGUGAGGGCGAAGGUGCCGGCGGCGGGAGCAAGGCGAGGGGCGGAGGUGCAGAUGGCAAGAACGAGAAGUCAGGGACCUGCCACUCUCUCGGCGGCGCGGCGGCUGAUGGCGGGGACGAGUCGCGUGCCCUGGCCGUUCCAUCCCCGGCUGUUGGUGGCGCAGUCCCGGCACGAGCUCAACCGCAUGACCCGACAGCACACCCUCCCCUGUCAACAGCUAGCAGAUCUCUCCCGUGGCUAGGGGGCAGCAGCGCCCAGGCAGCGGUAGUGGCUGGGCAGCAGUAGCGCAAUGUGAGAGACGGAGGAAGCAAUGGCGUGACCGCAGGUUGGGAUCGACCGGGUGGAGAAAGGAUAACGGGUCAAGCAG